GCCGCGAGUCGCGCGCCGCACCCGGUGACCUCCGAGGGCUGGAGCGCUCAGGCUCCUGCGCUCGAUGGCGGCGGCCGGCGGUCCCGCGACCCGCGGCGGGCACAAGCAGCGGCACGUCCCCCGCCCCGAGGCCGCUGCCGCCCCCCCGGCUCGGGGGUAGGGGAGCCCCCCACCCUCCCCCGCCCGCCCCCUCGCCUGACUCAGCCGCGCUCGGUGGCCACGCCGCGUCCGCUGCCCGAGCCCCGCCGGGAUGGGGAGGGAGCCCGAGGCUGCCCGCGGCUGCCGAGAUUCCCGCUGACGCCCCCGAGCCCGCCGCCGCCUCCUUCGCUGGUUCCGGAGGCGCCCGACGUCCCAACUGCUCCUGCAGUGCGAGUCCCGAAAGGCGACUGGACCCCUGAGGCCCCGCGCUCAGGACAGAUGAAGAGAGAUGAAUUAAAGUCCCCUGGCACUAUUGUAUUUCUAUUAUGUUUUGCAUCUCUGCAAAUUCUACCUGGUGAAUGUUACUCCUCUGGAAUUUCCAUCUUCACGGUAAGUUACACACCUUAGCACUGACUUACUUAAUGGUCUUUGGGUGGAAGUCCAGUCUGUCUGAUACUAGGACUGCGACCUGAUAUUUCUUCUUCCUCUCUUCUCUCACCCCUCACCUUCUCUCCCUGUCGUAGUCAUUGGUAUUAUCUCGCUCAGUAUUUAUCUUUGUACUGUUGGAUAUCUCAUACUUACGUUACUCGGUCUGGGAUUUAUUAGGUUGCGUUUUCUUUACAUAUAUUUGUCCAUUUAAAAUUAUUCAAACACCUUCCAUUUGUUUUAAGUACCCCUUGCAGAGAACAGAGAGUUAGAUACUGCUUUGUGGCUCCCUCUGAAAACCUGUUUCUUUUCAUAGGUGAGUGAGACUUUUCUUUUUCUUUCUUUUUUUUUUUUUUACAAAGAGAUAUGACAGCUAUGUAUUGUUUUAGCUUUGUCAUUUUUUGGUUUGUUUAUACAGUCUUAUCAAAGUAUUUCGUUAUGUAGUCUAUUUGGUUAGCUUAGAUUUAAUUUUAAAAAAAGAGUUCUGAUAUAUUGAAAGACAUAUUUUGAUUCUAGUGGUUUCAUUUGUAAUUAUAAUUGUAUAUACUAUCUUUAGG
rnacentral:lncRNA from 1 species